rnacentral:rRNA from 1 species
GACGAACCGUGCGAACGUUAUUCGGAAUCACUGGGCUUAAAGCGCGUGUAGGCGGGCCGGCACGUCCGUGGCUGAAAGCCCCCCGGCUCAACCGGGGAAGUGGCGCGGAUACGGCCGGCCUGGAGGGGGGUAGGGGGACCUGGAACUUCCGGUGGAGCGGUGAAAUGCGUUGAGAUCGGAAGGAACGCCCGUGGCGAAAGCGAGGUCCUGGACCCUUUCUGACGCUGAGACGCGAAAGCCAGGGGAGCGAACGGG